GAGAAUAGUCCAGCUGGAACUGAAGUUUUCUGUUUUAGGAUUGGGCUUUCCACAGGGACAAGUGUGGCCUCUGGAUUCCCUCUGCUACUCAACUCUAAUCCGCCGACUAAUGACUUCAUAGUGUAUAUGGUGAAUCCAACACAUGCCAAGGUUCUCUUGAUUUAUCAAGUUAGGAGUGUUUAAUUUUCAUAACAUCCUACAAGAUUAAUUUAAUUGUACUACUGUAUAGAUCUCACUAACAAAAAAAUAUAGGUGAAAUGAAUUGUGUCUCAAUUGGAGCAUGUCAGUUUAUGUUCAGUUGGUUAACAUUUUGUCUAGGUCACUGUUACAAGCUUCCCAAAUCUGGACUUUGAGAGUUUAUCUAAUCAUUUCAUUCUGGGGCUUCUUGUGGUGGACAGCAAUGCAAUCUUUGAAUUACAGACACUGACUGUUACAUUAACAGAUGUGGAUGAGCCCCCAGCUUUCUUGGAUGAAAGUAUGGAAUUACAUUGUUCACUGGCUUGUGUGUAGUCUGAUUAUACAAAGGUCAUUGUGGGUGUCAUAAUAAAAUAUCUUUGUUUUAGCCUCAAUCCUCUACAUAGUGGAGAAGUCUCUGCCAAGCUUAAUCUAUCAGCCAGCUGUCAUUGACCCUGAAAAUAGACCUCUAACUGUAUUACUUCAAUAUCUCAGUGAAUGAUGGGAAUAACACUGCUACCAAACCGUUGUUUAUCAACAUAAUUAACCUUAAUGAUGACAAACCAUAUUUUGUAAACACCAUUACAUCUUUUACUGUCACAGAAGAGUUGAGCCCAGGGCAUAUGAUGGCCAAUAUUACUGCUGUUGUCCCCAGUGACUAAUUUUAUAGCAGUUUCAUUUUCUACACCAUAAGUGACAACAAUUAUCUUGCCAUACACACAUCAAACAGGAUGGAUCGAGACUCAGCACCACUGAGAGACAGUCCAACAAUCACAGUGACUGUUACAGCCAGCUUUAGUCCUUUUGGGCCACCACUACUCAACACAAUUAAUAUCACUGUUACUGUCGAAGACAUUAAUGACAACCCUGCCAUUUGCU